UACGUAGGCAGCGAGCGUUGUUCGGAGUUACUGGGCGUAAAGGGUGUGUAGGCGGUCCUCCAAGUUUGGUGUGAAAUCUCCCGGCUCAACCGGGGAGGGUGCGCCGAAAACUGGGGGGCUGAGAGUGCGGGAGGGGAGAGUGGAAUUCCUGGUGGUAGCGGUGAAAUGCGUAGAUAUCAGGAGGAACACCGGUGGUGUAGACGGCUCUCUGGACCGUAACUGACGCUGAGACACGAAAAGCGUGGGUAGGCAAACAGG
rnacentral:rRNA from 1 species